CAACUCCUCGCCUCCCCACCUCCCUGCCUCUUGGCGUCAGCGAAGGCUCUGCUGCCUGCAGGGCAGAGAGGAGAGGGAGGAGGCCAGCGAGAGGGAGCCUCUGUCGGGGCGUGGGAGGAAAGCAAGAUAACGCAGGCGACCCGAGAAGGACGGUGAAUCUGACUGGCCAGACUGGGAAUCUUGUCUGUCACCGAGGCUGGAGUGCAGUGUGGCAGGAUCAUAGCUUACUCCAUCCUUGAACUCCUGGGAUCAAGGAAUCCUCUAGCCUCAGCUUCCUGAGUAGGUGGGACUACAGAUGCAUACCACCAUGCCCCGUGAAGGAAGUGAGUUGUUCUUUCCUCUUUUAUAGGAAUGGGAUGGGAAAGAGGAAGGGCUAUGAGUACGCUUCGCAUGUUUGUUAUUGUGUUGUUCCGUUCUUCACACACAUGUCCAUCAGGCUCCC
rnacentral:lncRNA from 1 species